AUAUAUUAGGGAUGCAUCGAUGCCUAAUCUUGGCAGAUUCCAAUUGGUACAGGGCGAUGAAUUGACAUUAGCCCUUUUUUUAUAAAUAGAUUCGAUUAAGCGCUGUUAUGCAAAAGCAAUUGACAAAGAAAUUAGGACAUAUUAGUCUUCUGCUUGAUGUAUGCACCUUACUGUUUGAAAUAGAGGUAAACGAAAAUAUUACAACCAAAAAAAAAAAGAAGAUGAAAAAGUUAAUAAAAGAAGGUGAUAAAGAUAAUCAAAAUGAUGAUGACUGUGAAGUAGAUUAUGAUGUUUGAGUCUAAUGAGAGUGAAGGAAGUUGCGACAAUGAAAAUUAAAUUACCUCUUUGCGCUCACUGGUAAAAGUUUUUAAAAAAUACAUUUUAGUAAGUU